rnacentral:rRNA from 1 species
GAUGAACGCUGGCGGCGUGCCUAAUACAUGCAAGUCGAGCGAACGGACGAGAAGCUUGCUUUUCUGAUGUUAGCGGCGGACGGGUGAGUAACACGUGGAUAACCUACCUAUAAGACUGGGAUAACUUCGGGAAACCGGAGCUAAUACCGGAUAAUAUUUUGAACCGCAUGGUUCAAAAGUGAAAGACGGUCUUGCUGUCACUUAUAGAUGGAUCCGAGCUGCAUUAGCUAGUUGGUAAGGUAACGGCUUACCAAGGCAACGAUGCAUAGCCGACCUGAGAGGGUGAUCGGCCACACUGGAACUGAGACACGGUCCAGACUCCUACGGGAGGCAGCAGUAGGGAAUCUUCCGCAAUGGGCGAAAGCCUGACGGAGCAACGCCGCGUGAGUGAUGAAGGUCUUCGGAUCGUAAAACUCUGUUAUUAGGGAAGAACAGAUGUGUAAGUAACUGUGCACAUCUUGACGGUACCUAAUCAGAAAGCCACGGCUAACUACGUG